AAGGCGCGCAUGCGCAUUACAGAAUCUCGUAUUUUCUGAUAGGUUGGAGAUUUUAGCUAUGUAGCUAUAAAGAUAACAAUAUACUAAAACAGCAGAGUUUUAAAACGCCGGAUUAAAAACAUUUAUAAACAUCUGACUGUUUAUUCAGUGUGUUGCAUUGAAGGGAAUGAGGGAUGACGUCGGUGGUGUUAGUAGACAGUGGAGGAGCCGUGCUGGAAUAUGUCACUGCAGUGGAGGAUCUGCAUCAGGAAGAGGGUGUGUGUGAGGUUGAGGGAGUGUGUGAAGGUGUAUGUGAUGUGGAGGGUGUGUGUGAGGAUGUGUGUGAGAUAGAGGGAGUAUGUGAUCAGGAAGAAGAUGAGCAGUGCUCACCUGCUCAUGUGUAUGUGUACGAUGAGAACACGGAGCUGAUGCAGGGCAUUGCAGAGGAACAGGAAGUGGAGACAGAAAUAGUGGAAACAGUGGAGGCAUCAGUACAUGGAGUCUCCAGUGUUUACUGCACAGAUAAAACAAUUGAAGCAGCAGAAGCUCUUUUACAUAUGGACUCACCAUGCAGCUUACGGGGGGACCGCAGUCCAGAGGUAUUUGUCCCUCCAUGCGUGUCCACUCCAGAGUUCCUGCACGCCGCCAUGCGCCCUGAUGUUGUCACGGAGACAGUGGUAGAGGUAAGCACUGAGGAGGCAGAGCCUGUGGAGGUGGUGACGUUAAUCAAGGAACCAAGAGUGAUGGAGAGAGAUGGCAGGAAGAAGAAAACUGGGAGGAAGUCCAAUAAGCCUCAGCCUAUCUCCAAUGGCUCUCCUGAUUUAAGCAUCAAGAAGAAAUCAAGAGAUGGUAAAGGCAGUACAUACCUGUGGGAGUUCCUGUUGGACCUGCUGCAGGAUAAGAACACCUGCCCCAGGUACAUUAAGUGGACUCAGCGGGAAAAAGGCAUCUUUAAGCUGGUGGACUCUAAAGCUGUCUCUAAGCUGUGGGGCAAACACAAGAACAAACCUGACAUGAACUACGAGACCAUGGGUCGCGCUCUCAGGUACUACUAUCAAAGGGGGAUCCUGUCCAAGGUUGAAGGUCAGAGGUUAGUGUACCAGUUUAAGGAAAUGCCUAAAGACAUUGUUGUCAUUGAUGAUGACAAGUGUGAGGCAGAUGAACUGGGCGGGGUUUAUGAGCACGUCAUAGCUGCUGGCCUCUCCAAACCCUCGGGCAUUCUGAGAGGGGCGGGGUCACUUACAAGCCCCACCUCUCCCAAAGCCAGGCCUUCACCCACCGUCACACCCAUUCAGCGCAUUGUGACCGUCUCCACACCGACUGAUCCGCCCCAUGCCACAGUUACCACACCCAGGACUGUCCGAGUUGCUAUGCAAGUCCCUGUUGUCAUGACGACGCCCCUAGGUCAGAAGAUUUCAUCAGUUGCCAUGCCAACAGCAACCCCACCUUCCUCCAGUGUUACCACGGCAACCGGAGCCUCCACCUCAAAGGUUCUGAUCCAAACAGUUCCGACUGUGGAGAACAGCGAUAAGAUCACGUUACAGCUCGCCAAAAUCAUCACCAUCACACCUAUUACACUUGCCCUGCCCUCUGGCACAGACCCCACCCACUCACAUACACACAGCUCUGUACCCAGCAGUCAGCUUCCUGUGCAUAUACACAUACAGUCUGACAGUCACAUGACACACACAGAACUUACUCAACAGGAAGUAGAGGCACACACACAGGAAGUCACUGCUCACAUGCACAGCUAAAGGUAAAGGGCAGUCUCUUUCUGUUUCUGUCUCUCUCUCACUCACACACAUACACCAGCCAAAUAGGAAUUGCAGGAAAUUAGUGGUAAAAAGAUGUAGAGGUAAAAAAAAAAAAAAAAGGGACUUUCAUGGAACACGCACACACUGCUAGAGCGGUCCUGUAAAUACAGUGGGACUGUUCAAGGGACCAGCGUGAGGCCACAGUGAAGGGCACUACAGAGAGGAGGAACACUACAAAGGACAUGUAUGGACAUGCUGUGUGUGUGUGUGUGUGUGUGUGUGUGUGUGUGUGUACACACUUUUAUACCUGUACAGUCUUUUGGGGGAUUUGUGAUGCAAAACCAGCAAUUAAGUUUGUACUAUCACUGUGUCACAGGAUGAAGGGAAUGGACUGAUGGUGGGUGAGAAAAAGAAGGGAAUGUAGGAAAGAGAUGGAAAUGUGUGUGUGAGGUUCAUAUGCUGUUAGGCCAAAAGUAUGUGCCCCGACCAUCAGACCCCCACUUCUGUCUUCCUCAAACUGUUCCACACACUAAGUCUCACAGCUGGACUGAACAUCUGUGUGUAACAGUUUCCUUCGGUGGAACUCUGAGUCCCAUCAUGACAAUGUCGCAGCAGCUCCAUUAUGACAUGGUGUAGAGGUGAAGGUUGGAGUGAAGAACACGAGUAUCCUGCACUGAGCCCUGACUCUGACUCAACCCUCCUGAACACCGAAUGGACCUCCUCACCAACAUCAGUGUCUGAUCUCACUAAUGCUCUUGUAGCUGAAGGAUCACUAAUCCCACAGACACAAUCCAACAUCUAGUAGAGAACCUUCACAGAUGAGCAGAGAUGAUUAGAACAUCAGAGGAAAUCAAUCAGGAAUGUUCCAAUAAAAUCAGGAAGAAAUUCACAUUAUUUCAUGUUCAAACACCUCAAACUAAACUGAGAGCUGGAAAACACCAAAACACAAGCAAAUAAUUAAAAUAAAAAUCUAUUCUAAUUAGAAAUGUCUACAAGCCAGCAUCUCACUCCCAGUUUAACAUGUGUUGGAGUAUCAGUGAAGACCUUUGGAUGCUUUAUCAAGGCUGGAAUGAGGCAUAUUAAUCUUGGACGCAUGAAUGAUAUGUGAAUCAAGUCACAUCCAGGGUUCUUAUCCUAGAAGAAAACUUCCUUCUGUUCUGACAGUGUUUCUCAGGUCCAUCAGGAUGAUACUCCAUGUCCACAACCAGAGGAACGUCACUCAAAGCCUCUGGAAUGUGAUCAAGAGAAAGACUGAUGGAUGCAAACCAUUAAACAAAGCUAGAGUCGAGUCACCCAGCAGUGUGCGAGCUCUGAGUGAAAUGGGUUAUUAAUCACCUAAUAUUCUACCUUCAAACAUUAAUUCUGUGUUAUUUAGAAAUGAAUAUGAACCUGAUUCCUUUCGAGGUUUGAGAACACUACAGCUUUUGUCUUUUUCUGCUAAUAAAUUCUAUAAAUGCUUUUUUUUACAUUUUUAUUUGAAGGCAUUUUUACAGUAGUUUAUAGAAAAAAAACCCCAAAUGUUUAUUUUACUUUAUGAAUGAUGUAUAAUUAUGUAAUGUACAUGAAGUGUGUAAUGUGUCAGGUACAUGAUGUUUACACUGAUGUGAGCUAAUGCACUGCGCAUGUGUGUUCCUGCCACUAGAGGGCGACAAAAGUCCAUGCUCAGUAAAUGAGACCCUAAUGAAGGAACGAUCACAUUUCUUCCUCUAUUGCUCCUUCAAAGAUAAAGACAGAGAACUGAAGGAGAGAGAAUGGAGGCAAGUGAGAAUCUGAGGGAAAAGUAAAGACUGACAUUCUGCUUCACAUCCUGCUUAUAAAUGCAGUUUGUAUCACACACUUUGCAUUUGGGGUUCUGAGACGUGUGUGUAAUAGAGAGUGUGAGAGAUGGAUUAAUGGAAGAGAUGGAGUGAAAAUGGAUGUGGUGUUCUGGUAGCUGGAGAUCCAAUCUCACACUGCUUCAUGUUUAGAAUCGUGUACACUCCCCUGUAACUCUGCUUUCUGUAACUCAGGUCAGUACUCAGCUCCAGAAUUAUUGGCCCCCUUCAUGAAAUUGCAUUCUGUAUAUAAACAUAUGCAGUGAGAGAUUACAUAAAUGUUUAAAACAGUGUUAUGUAAAAUUACCCCCACAUUCAUUAAUAUUAGGUACUGCUCUCCUACUUGUUCGUUCUAUCCUUACAUGGAGUUCUACCACUGCUUACACAGCUACAGUGGAUGGAGAAGAGCAAAAAAUGUAUAAAGAUCCAUCUGCACACAAAUGACUGUGUGUGUAUUGUUA